CUGGUCUCGGGGACUACACCAGGAACCAGUGGGCUGGCUGGCUGGAUUUCAAGCUGUAUUUGUCAGAGUUAGAAAGGGCUGCAGGAUGCUUGCUUACUCAGGGGUCUCAGGCUCACGGAGGGCUCAUUCCCCAUUGUGAUGGAUGGGCAGGCACAGUCAGCCUGGAGGGUCCCGCAGCCUUUCACACAACAAUAGGAUGAGGAGAGAUGAUGCACUUGGGACCUGGGCUCAGGUUGGAGCUCGUCAUGUACCUCUGGGAGCCCCUCCUAGGCCCUGGCACAUAGUAGGUGCUCAAUAAAUACAAUGAUCCUCCACUGCACUGCUGACCUAUAGGGGACUCGG